GUGCUUAACACAUGCAAGUCGAACGAGAACGGGUUAUAGCUUGCUAUAAUUGUCAGCUAAGUGGCGCACGGGUGAGUAAUGUAUAGGUAAUAUGCCUCUUACUAAGGGAUAACAAAUGGAAACGUUUGCUAAUACCUUAUACUCCUUAUUAACAGAAGUUAAUAAGGGAAAGAUUUAUUGGUAAGAGAUUAGCCUGUAUUGUAUCAGUUAGUUGGUGGGGUAAUGGCUUACCAAGACUAUGACACAUAACUGGUUUGAGAGGAUGAUCAGUCACACUGGAACUGAGACACGGUCCAGACUCCUACGGGAGGCAGCAGUGGGGAAUAUUGCACAAUGGACGAAAGUCUGAUGCAGCAACGCCGCGUGGAGGAUGACACAUUUCGGUGCGUAAACUCCUUUUAUAUGAGAAGAUAAUGACGGUAUUAUAUGAAUAAGCACCGGCUAACUCCGUGCCAGCAGCCGCGGUAAUACGGGGGGUGCGAAGCGUUACUCGGAAUCACU
rnacentral:rRNA from 1 species